rnacentral:rRNA from 1 species
AUACGUAGGUGGCAAGCGUUGUCCGGAUUUAUUGGGUUUAAAGGGAGCGUAGGCCGCUUUGUAAGCGUGUUGUGAAAUUUGCCGGCUCAACCGGUAACUUGCAGCGCGAACUGCAGAGCUUGAGUGUGCGCAACGUUGGCGGAAUUCGUCGUGUAGCGGUGAAAUGCUUAGAUAUGACGAAGAACUCCGAUUGCGAAGGCAGCUGACGGGAGCACUACUGACGCUGAAGCUCGAAAGUGCGGGUAUCGAACAGGAUUAGAUACCCUGGUAGUCCGCACGGUAAACGAUGGAUGCCCGCUGUUUGCACAUAGUUGCAAGCGGCCAAGCGAAAGCGUUAAGCAUCCCACCUGGGGAGUACGCCGGCAACGGUGAA